UACGUAGGGUGCAAGCGUUGUCCGGAAUUAUUGGGCGUAAAGAGCUCGUAGGCGGUUUGUCGCGUCUGCCGUGAAAAUUCGAGGCUCAACCUCGAACUUGCGGUGGGUACGGGCAGACUAGAGUGUGGUAGGGGAGACUGGAAUUCCUGGUGUAGCGAUGAAAUGCGCAGAUAUCAGGAGGAACACCGAUGGCGAAGGCAGGUCUCUGGGCCACUACUGACGCUGAGAAGCGAAAGCAUGGGGAGCGAACAGG
rnacentral:rRNA from 1 species